rnacentral:miRNA from 1 species
UGCUCAGUAGUUGGUGUAGGAUC